rnacentral:misc_RNA from 1 species
GAUGAAGAACGUAGCGAAAUGCGAUAAGUAAUGUGAAUUGCAGAAUUCAGUGAAUCAUCGAAUCUUUGAACGCACAUUGCGCCCGCCAGUAUUCUGGCGGGCAUGCCUGUCUAAGCGUCAUUUCAACCCUCAUGCCCCUAGGGCGUGGUGUUGGGGAUCGGCCAAAGCCCGCGAGGGACGGCCGGCCCCUAAAUCUAGUGGCGGACCCGUCGUGGCCUCCUCUGCGAAGUAGUGAUAUUCCGCAUCGGAGAGCGAUGAGCCCCUGCCGUUAAACCCCCAACUUUCCAAGGUUGACCUCAGAUCAGGUAGGAAUACCCGCUGAACUUAAGCAUAUUCAAUAAGCGGAGGA